rnacentral:rRNA from 1 species
GAUUAAGCCUGCAUGUCUAAGUAUAAGCGACUUGUACUGUGAAACUGCGAAUGGCUCAUUAAAUCAGUUAUGGUUUCUUUGAUGGUACCUUGCUACUUGGAUACCCGUAGUAAUUCUAGAGCUAAUACAUGCAGGAAUUCCCGACUUCUGAAGGGAUGUAUUUAUUAAAUAAGAAACCAUCUCGGGUUCGCCCGGUUGUGUGCUGAGUCAUAAUAACUGCUCGAAUCGUAUGGCUCUACGCCGUCGAUGGUUCAUUCAAAUUUCUGCCCUAUCAGCUUUCGAUGGUAGGAUAGAGGCCUACCAUGGCGUUAACGGGUAACGGAGAAUUAGGGUUCGAUUCCGGAGAGGGAGCCUGAGAAAUGGCUACCACAUCCAAGGAAGGCAGCAGGCGCGUAAAUUGCCCGAAUCCUGACACAGGGAGGUAGUGACAAGAAAUAACAAUACAGGGCUACUUCUAGUCUUGUAAUUGGAAUGAGUACAACUUACAUCUCUUCACGAGGAUCAAUUGGAGGG